AUGGUUAUCCCACAGGACUGCUCAUCCCACAGGACUGGUUAUCCCACAGGACUGGUUGUCCCACAGGACUGGUUACCCUGCAGGGCUGGUUAUCCCACAAGAUGGUUAUCCCACAGGAUGGUUAUCUCACAGGAUGGUUAUCCCACAGGAUGGUUAUCCCACAGGAUGGUUAUCUCACAGGAUGGUUAUCCCACAGGACUGGUUAUCCCACAGGACUGUCAUCCCACAGGAUGGUUAUCCCACAGGACUGGUUAUCCCAAAGGACUGUCAUCCCACAGGAUGGUUAUCCCACAGGACGGUUAUCCCACAGGACUGUCAUCCCACAGGACUGUCAUCCCACAGGACUGCUCAUCCCACAGGAUGGUUAUCCCACAGGAUGGUUAUCCCACAGGAUGGUUAUCUCACAGGACUGGUUAUCUCACAGGACUGGUUAUCCCACAGGACUGGUUAUCCCACAGGAUGGUUAUCCCACAGGAUGGUUAUCUCACAGGAUGGUUAUCUCACAGGAUGGUUAUCUCACAGGAUGGUUAUCUCACAGGAUGGUUAUCCCACAGGACUGGUUAUCCCACAGGACUGUCAUCCCACAGGAUGGUUAUCCCACAGGACUGGUUAUCCCACAGGACUGUCAUCCCACAGGAUGGUUAUCCCACAGGACUGGUUAUCCCACAGGACUGUCAUCCCACAGGAUGGUUAUCUCACAGGAUGGUUAUCUCACAGGAUGGUUAUCUCACAGGAUGGUUAUCCCACAGGACUGGUUAUCCCACAGGACUGUCAUCCCACAGGAUGGUUAUCCCACAGGACUGGUUAUCCCACAGGACUGUCAUCCCACAGGAUGGUUAUCCCACAGGACUGGUUAUCCCACAGGACUGUCAUCCCACAGGAUGGUUAUCCCACAGGACUGGUUAUCCCACAGGACUGUCAUCCCACAGGAUGGUUAUCUCACAGGAUGGUUAUCUCACAGGAUGGUUAUCCCACAGGACUGGUUAUCCCACAGGACUGUCAUCCCACAGGAUGGUUAUCCCACAGGACUGUCAUCCCACAGGACUGCUCAUCCCAUGCAAGCCAGUGCUGCGGCUGCCUGGCUUCCCUGCCUCCCGCAUACUGACGUGUGAAGGUCCUCUCUGA
rnacentral:lncRNA from 1 species